rnacentral:miRNA from 1 species
AUUAGGUUGGUGCAAAAGUAAUCACAGUUUAUGCAGUUGUAAUGGCAAAAACAGAAAUUACUUUUGCACCAACCUAAUA